UGGCUCAGUUGGUAGAGCAUGGUCCUUGCAAUGCCAGGGUUGUGGGUUUGGUUCCCAC
rfam:Salmo salar isolate Sally breed double haploid chromosome ssa25, whole genome shotgun sequence.